AGAGUUUGAUUCUGGCUCAGGAUGAACGCUGGCGGCAUGCUUAACACAUGCAAGUUGAACGAAGACUGACUUAGUCUAUGACAUGUUAGUACUUAGUAGCGGACGGGUGAGUAACGCGUAAGAAUCUACCCCCAGGUAAAGAAUAACAACUGGAAACGGUUGCUAAUACUUUAUAUGCUGAGAAGUUAAAGAUCUAUCGCCUGGGGAUGAUCUUGCGUCUGAUUAGCUAGUUGGUGGAGUAAAUGAUCACCAAGGCAACUAUCAGUCGUUGGUCUGAGAGGAUGACCAGCCACACUGGGACUGAGACACGGCCCAGACUCCUACGGGAGGCAGCAGUGAGGAAUUUUCUGCAAUGAGCGAAAGCUUGACAGAGCAAUGCCGCGUGAAGGAAGACGACCUGCGGGUUGUAAACUUCUUUUCUUAGAGAAGAUAAUGACGGUAUCUAAGGAAUAAGCAUCGGCUAACUAUGUACCAGCAGCCGCGGUAAUACAUAGGAUGCAAGUGUUAUCCGGAUUGAUUGGGCGUAAAGAGUUCGUAGGUGGUUUAGAAAGUCGAUUGUCAAAGAUCAAGGCUUAACCUUGGGCCGGCAAUGGAAACUUCUAGACUAGAGUAUGGUAGGGGUAGAGGGAAUUAUUGAUGUAAUGGUGAAAUAUGUAGAUAUCAGUAAGAACACCAACAGCGAAAGCACUCUACUAGGCCAAGACUGACACUCAGGAACGAAAGCGAGGGGAGCGAACGGGAUUAGAUACCCCGGUAGUCCUCGCUGUAAACGAUGGAAACUAAGUAUUGCGCAAACUUUUUAGAAGUGCAGUACUGUAGCUAACGCAUUAAGUUUCCCGCCUGGGAAGUACGAUCGCAAGGUUGAAACUCAAAGAAAUUGACGGGGGCCCGCACAAGCGGUGGAGCAUGUGGUUUAAUUCGAUUCAACGCGAAGAACCUUACCGGGAAUUGACAUACUAUGCAUUUUUUGGAAACGAAAAAGUUCAAACAUAGCUACAGGUGGUGCAUGGCUGUCGUCAGCUCGUGUCGUGAGACGUAGGGUUAAGUCCUUUAACGAGCGCAACCCUUAUUGUUAGUUGCUUUUAGAAAACUAGCGAGACUGCCAGUGAUAAGCUGGAGGAAGGUGAGGAUGACGUCAAGUCAGCAUGCCCCUUAAGUCCCGGGCUACACACGUGCUACAAUGGUUAAGACAAAGAGAUGCUAACUUGUAAAAGUACGCUAACCUCAAAAACUUAAUCUCAGUUCGGAUUGUAGGCUGCAACUCGCCUACAUGAAGCCGGAAUCGCUAGUAAUCGCAGGUCAGCUAUACUGCGGUGAAUACGUUCCCGGGCCUUGUACACACCGCCCGUCACACCAUGGAAGCUGACUAGGCCCGAAAUCGUUGUAAACGCCUAAGGUAAAGUUGGUGACUGGGGUGAAGUCGUAACAAGGUA
rnacentral:rRNA from 1 species